rnacentral:lncRNA from 1 species
GGGGAACUAAACAAAAUAGACUUUAUAGGACAUGGAGGUGCACAGCUAAACACAUCUAUUUUCCUCAAGAUAAUGCCAAAUGUAUAUCAAGAGAGAAAUUCCAUGUAGGAUAAGUAUCACAACAGAGGAAAUCAAUAAUUGAUUAGUAUGAAUUUUUCAAAGCAGAUUCAAGUGAACAACCAAAACUAGAAAUAACAAUAUGGUAAAGAGAGUAUAUAGAAUAUCUCUCUUCUGUUAUUACAAUCCAUGAAAUCAAGACAAGCAAAAUAAUCUUGACACGCCUAACAUGAAGUGCAAAGCCACUACAAUGUCUCCAUUCAGAAAUCACCUGGAAUAUAUAUAAACAGCAAAUGUCCCAUUAUCAAAAACAUUAAAGGCAAAUGCCUGACUAAGAUGAUGUGACAACCAUAUAAGUAUCCAGAAAAUCAAGUAUGUAACAUAAAAUAAAAAAUAACAUCCACUAGCAUACCAAGUUAUUACUCAUAGAGACAUAAUUCGUCAAUUCAAGUGAUAGUAGGAGUAAGCAAUUAAAGGUGUUGGUAAUCAAUUUGGCUCAUCUUUAGUGAGUAAAGCGUAAAAUGACAAACUCAAGAGGUGGUUAUUUCAACAAACCGAUGAUUUGUUAUGAUAUACUUGCAAUAUCAACCUUUGAUUUGUUAAUCAAAGGUCCUUAAUAUUAACUUACUCUCUAAAGUGAAUUGAUCGCUUUAGAGGAGCCAAAUUCAUUGGUGAUCAACAUGUGGAAAUGAUCCAUUUCAUUGUUAAUUUCUAAUGCAUUACACAUAAACACCAGCAUAAGAAAACAUCACAAUACCUUCCUAGAUUUUAAUCUCAUAAUAACAGUAACAUUAAAGAACAGUUAACAUCCCGCAAAACAAAAACGCUAUCAUUCCUAGCCUUUUACACGAAUUUUGUGAUAAGCCAAAGGCUACUAAGUAUUAAAUAAUUUGCUUCCACCAAGUUGAAAAUUAUUUUCCCACGUAGACCAUGGGCCUGUUUGGAUUGCCUUAUUUUUUAGCUUAUGAGAAAUAGCUAAUGCAAUUAAACAAGUUUUUAUGUUAAUUCAUAAGUUCUCACUUAUGAAAAUUGUAUCUUCAUAAGCUGUUUUUUCAUAAACUACCUUGAUAUGCUUAUGAAUAAUACAUAAAAUCUCAUUUAUUUGCAUAAGCUCAGAAAAAAGCAAUCCAAACUACCCCACAUCAGAUUUGAAUGAAAAUCACACUCACAUUUUAUCUAAAUUUAACUACAGAAAUAAUGCUCUUCAAAAUGGGGACAUUCACCGCUUAAGAUCGCCAACAUGAUCGCAAUGAAAUAUCACUUUUAAAUGCAUCAAAUCAUAUAAAACUUCAACUAUUGUUUUGUUUCCUUUUUCACAAUUACUUAGGUUUGGUUCAUGUUUCAAGAGGUCUAAAAUUGUUUUCGACAUGUUUGGUUGCUAUCAAUUAAAAUUGAUUUUGCCUCCUCCAAGAUUGAUUCUAACUUAAUCUACGGAUAAUUUCUAGCUUUUGAAUUUUACAAAAUCAUUUCAUUCAAAAUCAAUUUUUGUCACACCCAGGAACCAAGAAUCACUUCAUACACAGAUUUGAUAUUAAAAAAAAAUCUGGUGAUCUAAUUAAUCUUUGCUGAUUGUUACAAAAUACAGCGCAAUAAAAGUUGAUGAUUUAGAUUGGGUGAGUUAGGGUUACCUUUUGUGAUGCUGAACGAAUUUUGAAUUCUUAGCAUCUUCCUCUGCAACAAAAACAAAAUAAAGGUAAAUUAGAUUUAUCACGAUAAUAUCGAAAACCUAAUUCUACAAUAAAAAAGGAAAUAGAUUGAAUUACCGGUAAGACCAAGAGAGAAUUUGGUGACAAGAGCUCCGGUGACGGCGAAUCCAACGAGGAAUGGCCAAGUACGUUUCCAUUCUCUCUUGAAGAAAACUGGCCAUGGAUCGAACUGUCUCAUUUUCAGAUGCUGAUGUUAUGGCUUCAGUUGAUUCUUUUGCAGUUGCAGCUUCUUGUUUG